rnacentral:rRNA from 1 species
GAUGAACGCUGGCGGCGUGCCUAAUACAUGCAAGUCGAGCGAACGGACGAGAAGCUUGCUUCUCUGAUGUUAGCGGCGGACGGGUGAGUAACACGUGGAUAACCUACCUAUAAGACUGGGAUAACUUCGGGAAACCGGAGCUAAUACCGGAUAAUAUUUUGAACCGCAUGGUUCAAAAGUGAAAGACGGUCUUGCUGUCACUUAUAGAUGGAUCCGCGCUGCAUUAGCUAGUUGGUAAGGUAACGGCUUACCAAGGCAACGAUGCAUAGCCGACCUGAGAGGGGGAUCGGCCACACUGGAACUGAGACACGGUCCAGACUCCUACGGGAGGCAGCAGUAGGGAAUCUUCCGCAAUGGGCGAAAGCCUUACGGAGCAACGCCGCGUGUGUUAUGAAGGUCUUCGGAUCGUAAAACUCUGUUUUUAGUGAAGAACAUAUGUGUAAGUAACUGUGCACAUCUUGACGGUACCUAAUCAGAAAGCCACGGCUAACUACGUG